rnacentral:lncRNA from 1 species
CUGAGAGUUUGUAUUCUAGCAGGGAGCAAGCGUAAAGAAAGGACAAAGGAAGGUGAAGGCAACAGGAAGUCUGAGGGUGCGGUGUGUGAUGGAGUGGCCUGGUCACCUCUGCACAGGUGACAUUUGAACCAGGACCUAAUGGGGUGGGGCUGGGGUGGGGUCCAGGCGGAGGGGAGAGCAAGAUGUGUUUUCUCUGUUAAGCUGUUGUCAGGCACGGAUCAUCAGGUGUUGCUCCCCACCACACAAGCAGGGUGCUGACAAGGACACAGGGUCAUGCUUUCAAGAACCUUUUAAGAGAAGGUACCUGGAGCUGCUGGUUCACAGUGAUUUUGACUCCCAGCUGAGCAAGAAUUCUGGAGACCCUGCUCUGGCAGUGGAGGAAGUGCUUGGACAGACAGUUGGGGCACGCUGUGUUAGGACUUAUACUCGGCUGAUCCCCCAAAGACCCAUGGGCCGGAGGUAUUUUUCCUCAGGCUUGCAUUCUACACUGGGCAGGAGACUGGACCCUACUGCAGAGGUUUCCAGUAACGUUUUGGGGUCCCCAGUGCUGCUGAGGAUAAGGAGGCUCACAGCUGAGCAGUGAUUGCCAGGUGGCAAGAGGCAGCUCUGAAGACCUGGACAGGAGCAGUUCCAGAGGAGGGGUGUGUGACCCUACUCUAGUGAAGAGAAAGAGGUGUGGAACCUUUCCUUGUGCUGUGCUAUUUAUCAUCUUCUUGUGUCUACUUUUUAACUGGGUUGUCUAUUAAUGAGCUGUAAGAGUUCUUUAUAUAUUCUGGUCAUAGGUUAUAUGUAUUAUAAAUAUGUUCUGGUUAAGGACUACUUUUCAUUUUUUUUUUUUUUUUUGAGGCAGGGUCUCUCCCU